AAUGAACGUUGGCGGCGUGGAUUAGGCAUGCAAGUCGAGCGAGAACCCCGCAAGGGGGGACAGCGGCGAAAGGGACAGUAAUGUGUAGAUUAUCUGCCCUCAGGUCCGGGAUAGCUGCGGGAAACUGCAGGUAAUACCGGAUAACAUCUCCGGAUCAAAGGUGUGAUUCCGCCUGAGGAUGAGUCUGCAUCCUAUUAGCUAGUUGGUGGGGUAAUGGCCUACCAAGGCAUUGAUGGGUAGCAGGUGUGAGAGCACGACCUGCGUCAUUGGGACUGAGACACUGCCCAGACACCUACGGGUGGCUGCAGUCGAGAAUCUUCGGCAAUGGGCGCAAGCCUGACCGAGCGACGCCGCGUGUGGGAUGAAGGCCUUCGGGUUGUAAACCACUGUCAGAGGGGAUGAAAUGCAGGUGGGUUCUCCCAUCUGUUUGACAUAGCCUCAGAGGAAGGACGGGCUAAGUUCGUU
rnacentral:rRNA from 1 species